UCUGAUUUGGAGCCAGGCAACAUGGUAUGUUAGAGAUGUAUGAUUUGCUAACGAGUCGUUCUUAGUGCAUUAUUUAAAUAAUUUGGCUCAAUUUUUGUUCAAAAUAAUAGUUAUACUAUGUCAUCUAUAUUGUGCUGUUCUUUAGUCCUGUAAGCUCUCUGUAACAUAAAUAGUUAUGUGAUAAUAACUAUUUUCAAGGUCAAAG
rnacentral:misc_RNA from 1 species